AUUGAACGCUGGCGACAUGCCUUACACAUGCAAGUCGAACGGUAACAGGUCUUCGGAUGCUGACGAGUGGCGAACGGGUGAGUAAUACAUCGGAACGUGCCUAGUAGUGGGGGAUAACUACUCGAAAGAGUGGCUAAUACCGCAUGAGAUCUACGGAUGAAAGCAGGGGAUCGCAAGACCUUGUGCUACUAGAGCGGCCGAUGGGAGAUUAGGGAGUUGGUGGGGUAAAAGCUUACCAAGCCGACGAUCUGUAGCUGGUCUGAGAGGACUAUCAGCCACACUGGGACUGAGACACGGCCCAGACUCCGACGGGAGGCAGCAGUGGGGAAUUUUGGACAAUGGGAGCAAGCCUGAUCCAGCAAUGCCGCGUGCAGGAUGAAGGCCUUCGGGUUGUAAACUGCUUUUGUACGGAACGAAAAGCCCUGGGUUAAUACCCUGGGGUCAUGACGGUACCGUAAGAAUAAGCACCGGCUAACUACGUGCCAGCAGCCGCGGUAA
rnacentral:rRNA from 1 species